GGAGAUGUCACUCAAUGGUAGAGUGCUUGCCUAGCAUGUGCAAGGCCCUGGGUUCAAUUCUCAGCACCCUCA
rnacentral:tRNA from 1 species